rnacentral:rRNA from 1 species
CCCUUAGAUGUUCUGGGCCGCACGCGCGCUACACUGACAGGGCCAACGAGUUCAUCACCUUGGCCGGAAGGUCUGGGUAAUCUUGUUAAACCCUGUCGUGCUGGGGAUAGAGCAUUGCAAUUAUUGCUCUUCAACGAGGAAUGCCUAGUAAGCGCAUGUCAUCAGCAUGCGUUGAUUACGUCCCUGCCCUUUGUACACACCGCCCGUCGCUACUACCGGUUGAAUGAUCCGAUGAAUAUCAUGGAUUGAGGAUGCAAGUAGGUUAGCCUAUCUUCAUCUUCGAGAAGUGAAGUAAAUCUUAUCAUUUAGAGGAAGGAGAAGUCGUAACA